AUACUUACCUGGCAGGGGAAAUACCACGAUCACGAAGGUGGUUUUCCUAGGGUGAGGCUCCACCAUUGCACUUCGGUGGGGUUGACCCCUAUGAUUUCCCCAAAUGUGGGAAAGUCAACUGCAUAAUUUAUGGUAGUGGGGAAUUGCGUUCGCGCUCUUCCCUG